rnacentral:lncRNA from 1 species
AUAGAGGUUAGGUCUAUGAGAGCUCAUAGGAUAUCCAAAAGAGUUUUUAAAAUAUUAUUUUUAUCUUCUAGAGGAUCAUAAUGUGAUUGUGAGCCGACACACUGUUUUCUUGAAAAAAUAGUUUAUCCAAGAUCUAAGCAGUGGGAGGUAAAUUGGGCUCGAAAAAAAAAUCUCUUAAGAGUAACAAUGAGUCAUAGAACCUAUUGAGCCAAUAGAUGGUGUACCUCAUCCACCUCGC